rnacentral:misc_RNA from 1 species
UAUGAUUAUCUAGUCCGAUUGCAUUAGAUUCUCAAAGACAAAUCAUGACCAUUAUCAUGAUCAUCCAUCCAAUAAAAACUGAAUCUGACAAUAAUGAACUCUUAUGUCCUUUCCUAAUUAAUUAAUUACAAACACAACAAUAGAAAAUCUAAAGCUGAAUUAGUUAAAUAAACGCAAUGAUGAUGACCUGAUACAUCAUUCUCCAUUCAAACCACAACUAUAAAAGCAAUCCUCAUCCAACAACACAGGCAUGCAAUUUAGCAGCCCAAUAAACUAAUAUAAGGAAUGUCCUUAUCGGAAACUUCAAAUGUUUGAAAAGAAAAUCAAAACAUAAACAUCACUAACCCACUGUACACAGCUUUCCACUCCCUUUCUCACAGCCAACCAUAAGCUUGGCAAAAUUUAACGUGGCCCAAAUGGCAGCAAUUAAUGUUUAUCCUCCAAAGAAGGAGAAAAACCCUCGUUUCUUGGGCUCUUCCUCCACCAUAACAGCCUUCAUAGUAUCCUGCUCAACAAGUCUCCAAGCAGCCUGCUCGAACGCCAACCCUGCCAAAGUAGGGGGCUUAUUCAACACAAGUGGGUAGCCUCUAUUCGUGCUCCUAAUCACCUCCGAAUCCUCUGGAAUCACCCCCAACAACGCCAACCCCAACAUCUCCUGCACGUCCAGCACUGACAUCAUGUCCUCGCCUUUGAUCAUAUCCGUCCUCACCCUAUUCACAAUCAUCUUUAUAUCCCUAAUUCCAUCGCACUCCAAAAGCCCCGUCACUCUAUCUGCGUCUCGUAGACUAGUAAUAUCUGGUGUUGUGACGAGCACUGCCUCAUUAGCCGGAGUUAUGGCCGUAAUGAACCCUGCAUCGAUUCCAGCCGGACAAUCUAUAAUUAUAAAAUCAGGGCAGCCUUCGGGUCUGGUUUUUAGUGCCUCCACCAGCCAUACCAGUGCUUUGCCACCGAAACCCAAUGGGAGCUUCGAGCGAGGUUUCGAGAUGCACAGAAGCUCGAAAUUGGACCACCGCUUGUCACGCACUAGGGCUUGGUCCAGACGGCAAUCGCCGUUCAUAACCUCGACGAGAGUGUAAUUCACGCGAUUUUCAAGGCCGAGGAGCAGGUCGAGGUUUCGGAGGCCAACAUCGGCAUCGAUGGCAACAACAGAAAAGCCCAGGCGAGCCAAGGAGAGGCCAACAUUAGCGGUGGUGGUGGUCUUGCCGACGCCACCUUUGCCGGAGGUUAUUACUACAACGCGUGGGGUGUCUCCAGCCAAUUCGGGCUUUCUAUUCCAUUGGAGGACGGAUUGAAUGGCGGAAUAGGAGUGGGAUUUUGAGGGUUUUAGGGUUUGAGUUAUGGAGGUGAAGGGUUUAAAUGGGGUUAAGGAAUGGAAGGAUGAAUUGAGGUUGGUAGGCAGGGGUUUGAGAGAUAUCAUCGUUAGAGAACACAGCAUUUAGAGGCCAAGGAUGAGGAAGAUCAUUUGAUUGGAUCAGAAUCAUACCAUUAAAGCAUGGAAUGAACAGAACAGAACUUGAGAGGGAAAAAUUUUAGAAUCCGAGUAG